GGGCCGUGGAGGCUCCGGCCCCCAUAAUAAAAUAUUUGAGGGGGUCAGGCCCAUGCAAAGUUGAUGGGCAUUCCCAUUCAAAUGGUGUGUGUGUGCAUUGUGUCAUGUGAUCGAUUAUGCAGGGCUGGUCUUACCUGGACCCCCCUGAAAUAUUUUAUUCAAUAUUGCACCUGUGCUCCUUACUCUCUAUUCCCACUGGCAAAAUAAAUAAUCACAUCCUGACCAGCUCUGCAGCCAGUUAUAACACACCUUGAAAGGUAUAUAAUGACAUCUUCCCUAUUGACUUUGGGGCAUCUCUUAAAGACUUUUAUGCCCCUAGGCCUAUGCAGCUGCUUUAAGUUAAUGCUUAGCCAAUCAUUUUAGUGAUUAUUAUGUAUUGUUCUUACGAUGUUGCAUGUCUUACAUUAUAUCUUGCUGUGUACUGCCUUACUGUUUUAUAUGAAUUAGUGGUAUAGAUACAUUUUUAAAAAACAAGCAAGCAAGCAAAUUCCUUGGCCCAGGAAGUGUACAGGGUUAGCUGUUGACAUUUUCUGAUGCAAAGGACAAGAUGGUGUCCCCUCCCCUCCCAUGUACAGAAGUCAGUUCAACAGGUAGUUGACUCUUAGGGCUUGUCCGCACCAGAACAAAAUGUGGACCCCCCUCCCCAGUCCAACGAUGUCUAGGACCUUUCCCAGUUUAUAUGUGUGGUUUUCCAAAUUUGAAAUUUCCAACCAUGGGGGGGGGGCACAUUUAAAUGGGAGUAAGUCCAGGGUAAUGCUCAGAUGGGAAGGGGCCUCAUGUGGACCUGACUACGUGAAUGGGGAAACAGGCCACAAUCACACAUUUGUGCCAAGCCAUGGUUUGUCUUAGUGUGAUGUAUAAGCCAAGCCAAAGUUUCUGUAACAUGAGUGGCGGUCCCCAAAAGCUGCUUUACAUUUUCUUAGAUUUCUAAUGAUCAUUGCAGGACCAAAUUCACCGAUCAGUUUAGAGAUAAUGCCAAACACAGCUGGAAAGAAUUCUCUGCACAAUUGGCUUCAGAUGAACUCCAAACAGGAGGACUGCAAGCAAGCAGUCUUGUGGGUAACACUCUGUCUACCAGGAAACUAUAAUUUUAUGAGAGGAAGCAGUUUCCUUUUGGCUUAGCGUCAAAUGACUUGUUCCAUUCAAGAUGCUAAUGAUGCUGCUUCCAAGGAAGAGUGUCGCCCGCCUGCCCUCCACCACAACACACCCAUUCCUAAAAAUUCCAGUACUAAGGACACUUCAAUUGAUCUAAGAUACGUACGGCACACAAAGGGCAAAUCUGAGACUUCUGUGGGGCCUAGUGCAAGCAAGAAGAAGGAGCUUCCUAGUGUAGACAUCUAGGCUGCUAGAAACCUGUGGCACCUAUCACCUGGAAGGCUGGGCAGGCUCUUGCCUCCUUUGGUUUGGAGUUAUGUGAGGGCGGUGUGUGUGUGUGUGUGUGUGUGUGUGUGUGUGUGUGUAGAGGCUAAUAUGGUGGUGUGGCUGAUUGUUUGCUGCCUGGCAAGUUGCCAGUGGGAAGUGAUGUCUGUGUCUGUGGGUGGUCCGCCUGAGCAGAGCAUUCAGCUUGGGGAAGAGCUGCGAAAGGUACAAAGGAGCUUAUGGGAGCUCCCCUGGAUCCUCACUUGUCAGUGCAAUUGACAAGAUGAGAGAUAAGGAGACUGUGAGCCCAGUAGGAGCAUACUUAAGGAGCGUAUCUCCCUAAAAGCACCUCUGAAUAAACAUCUCUGCAAGUCUCCCUCUGCUUUAUGUUAAAUGAUAUGCUGAUUGCUUCUGUAUACUUGCCAACCGUUAAGGAAAAAUAUUUGGCAGGGCACCUGAGAUUGGAAUUAUGUGUAAGAUUUUCUAGCAUUCACAUUGGCCUAGUUCUCUGGUAAGGUCAGAUGGCAUGCUUGGAGCUCGGGUGACUGCACACCACACACACAGUCACACUGUACAUAGCAAACGUGUGAGGGGGCAAUGAGAACAACCCUAAUUCAGACAGCACCACUUGGUUUUCUCUUCAACCUCCAUAGAUUGGAGGGUGAUUGAAGGUGUGUUCACACAUUACUCUGAACACAAGCACAAGCUGUCUCUUCACAGGUAGAAGUGUUUGUGUGGAAAAGUGUACACUUGUUGAUUUGUACAGCUCAGCUACUACCUACAGAGACUGUACCCUGAUUGAAUGCUACAUGUGAGUUACUGUAUGAGUGUACAGAUCUACAACUUGUUUACACAGACGCCUUGAUUGUACUCUCAUGGAAUGUAACAUGUGAACACCCUUUAUGUGAAGCACGGAGCCUCCUGUAGGCACCUUUUUGAAUCUUUUUCAAGAGAGAUUUUACCUGGGAAUGGCCACUUUCCGCCACUCUUAUCUUAUAGCCCUGUUCAAGCAUGAAACCCCCUUGCAGUUUCAAUUGUGUGCAGGAGAGACUGAGAGUGCAUUCUCUGGCCCCUCCCUUUCUGUUGGAUCCACCUGGUCCCACCUUUCACCUCCUUAGAUCUCUAUACAAUUUAGAUCGUGCUGGAUACUGAAAUGGCUUUUACUCUUGGGUGAAUAAACUUUAGGGAUUUCGAAGCCAUUGUGUACUGAUUCGUUUCCACAGCCUUGCCUGCCAAGUUAAAAAAAAUAAAAAUGAACAGAAGUACGAGGAAAGAGUGUUGUUGAAUUGCAAUUAUUAGGUUAUGGUGGUUUGGGCUGGUUAGCACCUUCAUAAAAAGAAGCUGUGGGCAAUUAAACAAUUGCAAGACACAGCUGCAACACACGACUUUUAAAAAGGAGAGAGCGCUGCCUCAGAUUCAGGAAGUCAGGCAGGCAGCUCAGAGAACUAAAUCCUAAAUAGUAAAACAUAUAUUGCCUAUACAGAUUAUGUACAAAAACAUUACAGAGAUAUCCAUGAUGUACAAACUCUGAUAAGAAAAUCAGCCUAGAAAAAGGUUGCACAAAACGAAAAUGAAAAUGCAUGGAGAAGAUUUAUUGCUCUUUUGCAAAUGGGUAGCUGAUCACUUUCCCCAUUUCUUUUGUAGGAUUUCAUUAGAUGCCAAAUGUCCUGUGCAACCUCAGCAAUUGACAUCAAAUGCCAUAUGAAGCCUGGGGAUCAAUCUAUGAAACUGCAUGCGCUGAUGUGCAUCAGUGUUCACCCUGCUCUUUCCCGGGACAGUACAGAACAAGUACUUCUUGCUCAGGAAGAAUUUGUGUAGCACAUUCUCUCUUGAACAAGAUUAUGAUGCUAUUACCCUGUUUAUAAGCAGAGUUGAUAGCUAGCAAAUUAAGAUACUUGAAUCAUCAGUAGGAGAGCUACAGUAUUGGGCAGCUAUGUACUCAAAUGCUCAUAUUCACUGUGAUCCAACUGAGGCCAUAUGGAUAGCUAUAAGGAUUCACUGUGUGCAGAAUUCCUGAUUCCAGAAAGGCUUGUCCAGCAACUACAGCCUGGGUGUGCACAACAGGCAGAUUACUGGCAAUAACACAAACCAUAUAUUCAGAGGUAGGAGGGUAGAAUGUGGGGAAAGAAGAUUGGAUUAAAGUUAUUUUCCUCCACCCAAACAAUGGAUUUAUGUUUCCAAUAACCUGCCUUGCACUGCUAGACAUCACUGCUGCUCAGGCAUAUGGUUGUAGUAGGACCAUUAUCCAUCUUUCUGUUAAAUAAAGUAGGCCCAAAUUCCAGUAUCUUCAAGUAAUAAAUGGCUACAGUCAUUCUACAUGUCUUAUCUGGCCAGCUAAGUGGUGAACAGAUGAUCAUGAGACAGUAAGACUAGAAAUUAUGACUUUUUAGUUCAAUCAAUAAAAUAUUCACUUUGACAGAGACCUAUUUUGAUUUAAUAAAUGAUUGCUGUGAGGCUAUAUAAACUAGAUAUUUUGAUGAUGAUGAUGAUACAGGGGGAAUGUGACAUAGUGUGUGGAGAACACUAGAUUGGAAUGCUCCAUACACAGUUCGGCAAGGCUUUCAAAAGAGAUUUAUUUAAAUUAAAAAUUAAAUUCUGUUGGCAUGCCUUCAGAUAUUAGACAACAUUUGAAUGUACUUGGCUUCCAUGUCAGUGCACUAUACUAGGCGGUCUUAUUCUGCAUAUUCUAUUCUGCACAUUAAAACCAAGACAGAUAUUGUUAAAAAGUAUUUCAGCAGUUGUUCUUAAUAGAAGUUCUUCCAGUCAUUUUAGAAAGCAG